rfam:Stegodyphus mimosarum contig110585, whole genome shotgun sequence.
GCCUUCCUGAUGUAGUGGUCAGCACGCUCGACGCGUAACCGAGAGGUCCGUGGUUCGAUUCCCGGCGAAGGCG